UACGGAGGGUGCAAGCGUUAUCCGGAUUCACUGGGUUUAAAGGGUGUGUAGGCGGGUAUUUAAGUCAGUGGUGAAAUCUCCAGGCUCAACCUGGAAACUGCCAUUGAUACUAUUUAUCUUGAAUUCUGUUGAGGUGGGCGGAAUACAUCAUGUAGCGGUGAAAUGCUUAGAUAUGAUGUAGAACACCGAUUGCGAAGGCAGCUCACUAAACAGACAUUGACGCUGAGGCACGAAAGCGUGGGGAUCAAACAGG
rnacentral:rRNA from 1 species